GCCACUGUGGCUCAGCCUGGCAGAGCGACUGACUUGUAAUCAGUUGGUCCGGGGUUCAAAUCCCCGCAGUGGCUCCA
rnacentral:tRNA from 1 species